CCUACGGGAGGCAGCAGUGGGGAAUAUUGGACAAUGGGCGAAAGCCUGAUCCAGCAAUGCCGCGUGAGUGAUGAAGGCCUUAGGGUCGUAAAGCUCUUUUACCCGGGAUGAUAAUGACAGUACCGGGAGAAUAAGCCCCGGCUAACUCCGUGCCAGCAGCCGCGGUAAUACGGAGGGGGCUAGCGUUGUUCGGAAUUACUGGGCGUAAAGCGUGCGUAGGCGGUUACUCAAGUCAGAGGUGAAAGCCCGGGGCUCAACCCCGGAACGGCCUUUGAAACUAGGUAGCUAGAAUCUUGGAGAGGUCAGUGGAAUUCCGAGUGUAGAGGUGAAAUUCGUAGAUAUUCGGAAGAACACCAGUGGCGAAGGCGACUGACUGGACAAGUAUUGACGCUGAGGCACGAAAGCGUGGGGAGCAAACAGGAUUAGAUACCCUGGUAGUCCACGCCGUAAACGAUGAUAACUAGCUGUUCGGGUACUUGGUAUCUGAGUGGCGCAGCUAACGCAUUAAGUUAUCCGCCUGGGGAGUACGGUCGCAAGAUUAAAACUCAAAGGAAUUGACGG
rnacentral:rRNA from 1 species